rnacentral:rRNA from 1 species
GCCAUGCAUGCCUAAGAUCCUUACGAGCAAUCUCUCUGAAUCUGCGAACGGCUCCGCAUAACAGUUGCAAUUACAGCUGGGGUGUCUAGGGGGGGCAGGGAAGACGGGCGUAAAGGGGGCGCAAGCUCCUGGUCGCCCGCCCGACCUCCCCUCACAUGGAUAUCCCCGGCAAACCGAGGCUAAUACGUGGGCGGUUUGUCAAGAGCUGCAGGGGGUGGAGGUGCUUGCACCGCCCCCCCCAUGCCGGUCCAGGGUAGGAGGGCCCCCUCACCCCCUCACGGGGGUUUGCGCGGGCAGUCUUAUCCAGGACUGGGGGUAUGGGUCCGACCCGGGCGCAAGCCUGGGCGCCCAGCAUCCUAGCUUCUGACCCAUCACCCUAGACGCUGUUUUAAGGAACCAGCUUAGGUGCAACGGGUACAGAGGAUCAGGGUUCGAUCCUGGAGAGUGGGCCUGAGAGAUUGCUCACACGUCUAAGGAUGGCAGCAGGCGCGCAACGUUCCCAAUGGGCAAUAGCUCGAGGGCGUUACGGGAAUAUGGAUGCCUGCCUCAUAGGUGGGCAAUCCAAAUGUGGGGGCAGUAAACAUGCCCCUCGAGUAACAACUAGAGGACAAGUCUGGUGCCAGCACCCGCGGUAAUUCCAGCUCUAGUAGCAUACUUUAAAGUUGCUGCAGUUGAAACGCUCGUAGUCGGAACACUGGUACCGUGCCGUAUGUAGGACGUUGUCGCUCCCCCACCCCUUCGCGGGGGGUGGGAACGGGGUGUGCGGCCUUUUGGCGAGUACCUGUGCUCGGGAGUCUGCCGUGGGAUCCUCCCCUCGUCCCGUCCUUCCCCCCGUCUGUCGCGUCGUCCUGAUCUCAUAAGGGACUUAUGGCGGCGGCGGUGCGUGGGAAGCCCCGUGGGCGAGGUUAACCUUUGGGUCCUGUUGGCUGGAUUAUCGUUCACAGGGAAAGCACUGCGGUCCGGUGCCGUAACGCGGGGGGCGGGGUCAAGGCUCUUUGGAUUGUGAGGCUGGUGGCGGGCGGGGGAGUUCGGUGGGUUCGAGCCAGACCUUCGGGUUAUUGGCAUCCCCACCGCCCUUGUCGAGCUGGCUGCUGCCUUAGGGUCUCCUGCCCCCUACUCGUCCAUGAGUAAACUAAGGUGUUCGAGACAGGUCUGCGCUCCUGCAUAUAGCAGCAUGGUAUCGGAGGAAUUUGGGGCUCGCCCCGCUACUUCCUCCUGUCCCAGGGGUACUCACCAUACCAGAGCUACGACCUAGUCUCCAGGGGUGUUCGGGGGUAGCCAUAUUGCCGGGCGAGGGGUGAAAUCCGUUGACCCUGGCAAGAUGAACAAUAGCGAAAGCAGCUACCAAGGGCACGCCCGUUGAUCAAGAGCUAAAGUUGGGGGCGCGAACUCGAUCAGAUACCGAGGUAGUCCCAACUGUAAAUGCUGCCGACCGGAGCUGGGGCUUUCCUAUGUCCCUCUCGACGAACCCUGGAUCCCGGAGAAAUUACAGUCACUGGGUUCUGGGGGGAGUAUGGUCGCAAGACUGAAACUUAAAGGAAUUGACGGAACGGAACACCAGGAGUGGAGCCUACGGCUUAAUUCGACUCAACACGGGAAAACUCACCAGGACCGGAUACCUGCAUGACGGACAAGCCGACGGCCUUUUCCAGAAAAAAGUAAGUGGUGGUGCAUGGCCGUUCUUGGUUCGUAGAAAAUGAUCCGUCUGGUUUAUUCCGUUAACGAGCGAGACCCCUCUUCCUCGGUUGAAGCCGCCUAGGGACUGCCAGUGGCGCCGGGGCCUGCGCGGCCCCCCUCCCGCAAGGGGGGGGGGUAGCGUGGGCCCCGGGAUCACGCUCUGGUGUAUCCCUAGGCGAGCUCACCCGUACUUCCCCCUAGAGUAUUACGGGUUCUAGUCCAGCCCGUUGGAAAGGGGCAAUAACAGGUCUGUAUGCCCUUAGAUGUCCUGGGCCGCACGUGCGUUACAAUGGGUUUGGCAACGGGCCCGCCCCGUCCGCUGUAACGCACGCGGCUCCCAAGCUGCCCUUCCCAAGCAGCAAGGAAAUCCCUGAAACAAAGGUACCCCAGCAGUCCCCCCCUAGGCUUGGGUCAGACCAUUGUAACUAUUGGUCUCUAACACGGAAUUUCUAGUACCCGCGGGUCAUCAGCCCGCGGGGGCUUAGUCCCUUCCGUUUGUACACACCGCCCGUCGCUGCUACCGAUUGAGUACUCCAUUUACGCCUUUUGAGGGCGCCAGAGGCAGGGGGGGCGACCCCCCUCCAGACGCCCCGAGA